rnacentral:rRNA from 1 species
CGGCAGCACGGACUUCAGUCUGGUGGCGAGUGGCGAACGGGUGAGUAAUGUAUCGGAACGUGCCCAGUAGCGGGGGAUAACUACGCGAAAGCGUAGCUAAUACCGCAUACGCCCUACGGGGGAAAGCAGGGGAUCGCAAGACCUUGCACUAUUGGAGCGGCCGAUAUCGGAUUAGCUAGUUGGUGGGGUAACGGCUCACCAAGGCGACGAUCCGUAGCUGGUUUGAGAGGACGACCAGCCACACUGGGACUGAGACACGGCCCAGACUCCUACGGGAGGCAGCAGUGGGGAAUUUUGGACAAUGGGGGAAACCCUGAUCCAGCCAUCCCGCGUGUGCGAUGAAGGCCUUCGGGUUGUAAAGCACUUUUGGCAGGAAAGAAACGUCGCGGGUUAAUACCCCGCGAAACUGACGGUACCUGCAGAAUAAGCACCGGCUAACUACGUGCCAGCAGCCGCGGUAAUACGUAGGGUGCAAGCGUUAAUCGGAAUUACUGGGCGUAAAGCGUGCGCAGGCGGUUCGGAAAGAAAGAUGUGAAAUCCCAGAGCUUAACUUUGGAACUGCAUUUUUAACUACCGGGCUAGAGUGUGUCAGAGGGAGGUGGAAUUCCGCGUGUAGCAGUGAAAUGCGUAGAUAUGCGGAGGAACACCGAUGGCGAAGGCAGCCUCCUGGGAUAACACUGAUCGUCUCAUGCACGAAAGCGUGGGGAGCAAAUCAGGAUUAGAUACCCUGGUAGUCCACGCCCUAAACGAUGUCAACUAGCUGUUGGGGCCUUCGGGCCUUGGUAGCGCAGCUAACGCG